rnacentral:rRNA from 1 species
UACGUAGGGUGCGAGCGUUAAUCGGAAUUACUGGGCGUAAAGCGUGCGCAGGCGGUGAUGUAAGAGCGAUGUGAAAUCCCCGGGCUUAACCUGGGAACUGCAUUGGUGACUGCAUUGCUGGAGUAUGGCAGAGGGGGGUGGAAUUCCACGUGUAGCAGUGAAAUGCGUAGAGAUGUGGAGGAACACCGAUGGCGAAGGCAGCCCCCUGGGCCAAUACUGACGCUCAUGCACGAAAGCGUGGGGAGCAAACAGG